ACCUAGAUUGAAUUAAUAGCAAAAUAGAGCUUGUUAGUUGAGCUAUUCGUUUACAUCGAGGAGGUUUCUGUGCAAUUCAGAUUAUUUUGAUUGAAGGAGACACUUAUUAUAUAUGCAUAUUUUUAUUAAGAUUAAGUGAAUCAACUUUAAUUGAUGUUAUUGUAUAGGGUAUAGAGUUAAUUUGUUAGUAUUAUAGUUAAUUAGUACCGUGAGGGAAUGUUUAAAUAGAUGAAAUUUUUUUUGAAGGAAGAAAACAUGAGAUGUUGUACCUUUUGUAUCAGGGGACACUGAAUAAUAUUAUUAUAUAAUUAUUUCCCGAAAUGGAAAGAGCUAAAGUAUUAUUAUAUUGUAGGUGGCAUAUUAUUUAUGAAUUUUAUUUUAGUGGUGAGAUGCCUUUCGGUUUCUAUUAUAUCUGGUUGUACAAGAAUUGGAUUUAAUUCAGCCACAGUUAGAUUUGUUGUGAGGUUGGUUCAUUAUAGUUUUGCUGUGAGUAACAGUAAGGGGGAUUUGCUCUUUACUUUUGUUUAUUUAUAAUGUGGUUUUAUGUUAGAUGAAAGAUGUGGGCUUAGAAGUAGCCAUCAUUUGUAAUUUUGUUAUAACUUAUUUGAGUUAUUUAUUAUAUUUUAUUGCAUUUAAUUUAUUAUUGUACUAUUGUUUUAAAUUAAUUAAGACAAUUUAUAAUGGUGUUAUUAGUAUAUUGGUGAGAAUGAUUAAAGGAAUUCGGCAAAAAUUUCCUCCGCCUGUUUAUCAAAAACAUGUCCUUUUGUUAAAAUAAAAGGUCUGACCUGCCCAGUGAGGUUUUAAACGGCCGCGGUAUUUUGACCGUGCGAAGGUAGCAUAAUCAUUAGUCCUUUAAUUGUGGGCUUGUAUGAAAGGUUGGACGAGUGGAAGACUGUCUUUAUUUGUAAUAUUGAAUUUUACUUUUGAGUGAAAAGGCUUAAAUGAUUUAGGAGGACGAUAAGACCCUGUAGAUCUUUAUAUUUAAAUAUUAAUUUUUGUAGUUGGUAAUGAAUAAAUUUGCUAUUUGACUAUUGCGUUGGGGCGACGAGAAGGUAAAAUAAACUCUUCUUAAUAUAAUUACUUUUAAGUAUUUCUGUGAUCCUUUAUUAAUGAUUAAUAGACUAAGUUACCUCAGGGAUAACAGCGUAAUUUUUUUUUGAGAGUUCAUAUCGACAAGAGAGAUUGCGACCUCGAUGUUGGAUUAAGAUUUUGUCUAGGUGCAGAAGCUUAGUACAUAGGUCUGUUCGACCUUUAAAAUCUUACAUGAUCUGAGUUCAGAUCGGCGUGAGCCAGAUCGGUUUCUAUCCUUUAGUUAGGAAGUAGUACUUUAGUACGAAAGGACCAAGUACUAAUAAUAUUUAUUGUUAGAGAAUAAAAAUAAUAGUC
rnacentral:rRNA from 1 species